rnacentral:piRNA from 1 species
UACUCUGUAAUGUGCUCC